GACGAACGCUGGCGGCGUGCCUAAUACAUGCAAGUCGAACGCAGUGGGUACGGGUGAGUAACACGUGGUUAACCUCCCAACAGAGGGGAUAACACUUGGAAAUAGGUGCUAAACCGAUACCGUUGGUUGAACCCGCGGUGCAUUGGCUAGUUGGUGAGGUAACGGCUAACCAAGGCCACGAUGCAUAGCCGGCCGGAGAGGGGUAUCGGCCAAAAGGGGACGGAGACACGGCCCAGACGCCUACGGGAGGCAGCAGUAGGGAAUCUUCGGCAAUGGACGAAAGUCUGACCGAGAAACGCCGCGUGAGUGAAGAAGGUUUUCGGAUCGUAAAACUCUGUUGUUAGAGAAGCGGUAUCUAACCAGAAAGCCACGGCUAACUACGUGCCAGCAGCCGCGGUAAUAC
rnacentral:rRNA from 1 species